rnacentral:rRNA from 1 species
AGGUAACGUCAAGACCCAAGCGUAUUAAGCUUAGGCUUUUCUUCUCUACUGAAAGUGCUUUACAACCCGCAGGCCUUCUUCACACACGCGGCAUUGCUGGAUCAGGCUUGCGCCCAUUGUCCAAUAUUCCCCA